rnacentral:rRNA from 1 species
GACGUAGGGCGCGAGCGUUGUCCGGAAUUAUUGGGCGUAAAGCGCGCGCAGGCGGUCCUUUAAGUCUGAUGUGAAAUCUCGCGGCUCAACCGCGAGCGGCCAUUGGAAACUGGGGGACUUGAGUGCAGAAGAGGAAAGCGGAAUUCCACGUGUAGCGGUGAAAUGCGUAGAGAUGUGGAGGAACACCAGUGGCGAAGGCGGCUUUCUGGUCUGUAACUGACGCUGAGGCGCGAAAGCGUGGGGAGCAAACAGG